UGUAAGAGAGAAGAGCAUGAAGUGGUAGGGACAGAGAGGACAGGUGCAAGAAGGGCUGGGAGAGUAAAAGCCUAGAGCUGCUGGGUUGAGGGACUGGAACCCAUAGAGGGUGGGCCAAUGUUUCCCUAUAUGUUACUGUGGGAGUGACACACUAGGGAUAGCCUGUUUUGGGAUGGCUGGAAGCAGACUUUGAUGAUACCCCAGGAGGGGAGAAGAACUUUAACAUGACUUAGCUGGAGGGCUAAGCCAUGAAGAAGAAAGCACUGCAGCUCCUGGUGCAUGAGUAACUGGGGGGAAUGGUGGACUGAGUAACUGCAGGAAGGGUGUCAGACCUUGCGGCAGAGCUACUUCCUCAGGUUGAGUCCUACCAGCAGAACUGGUUUAUCGGGGGAGAGAUUGCCUUCCAAUGAAGUCACCUGGUAAGGAUCUGGGGUCACCUGAAGAGGCUGAUCCAGAAGUCACAUGACAGAAAAACUGGAAGGUUAUAAAGGAUAGGAGCUGAAGCAUUCGGGGCCUUUGACCAGUUUCAAGAUGAGGAAACCCUGUGUACCUGAAUAUGGAUGACUUCUUUGGAACUGGAAUCUCAGCUAGCAGGCCCUGUGCCACCUUCUAGAUGCAACUGGCUUAUUGCCAUGGUCAGACAACCUGAGAGAAGACCCUAUCAGCAUUUCCAGCUAUUCCUAGCAAAUGGAGAUACUCUGUGCUCCUGUGGAUGAAAUUGUUUCCAAGCUGAGGAGAGGAAUUGAGACCAAUGCCUAGGGAAGAGGCAGAGUGGAUUUUUUUUUUUUUUUACCAUUUCUUUUUAGUGCUAUUGUCGCUUCUACUGUAUAGCUAAUUAGGAUGGAAGAAGGUAGCUGGAGACAUGCAAAGACCUUCACCAGUGAUAGGGUAGCCAAUGAGUCUAGGUAAGGGAAGAGUUUUUCCUGACAGAUAUAGGUGACAGCUCACUGAAGAAGAAUUGAGCAGAAUGGACUACAGGAUUCUGGACUAUUUGGUGUAUCGGCACAGUGUGAGACCCAUAAAAGAGAACAAAGAACAAAAAAUAAGAGAAUAUGGCAAGAUGGAGGGAGAAAAAGAAAGAAGGAAAACAAAGCAAAAUCCAACGAGAAUAACAAGGUACCUCUGAUAGGGUGGCCUGCCCCCGGAAGGGCUGAAGGCCUGGAGGUGGCCAGUCCCUAUCCAAUUAGUAAGGCUCCCUGUUUGUCAUUGAAGACUUUACGUGACCACAGUGACUUCUGCAGCGGCCCGUGAGGCUGGCCUGGGAGCAUCCUGAGCAGCUCGGGCAGCCCCUGAGCUAUU